rnacentral:lncRNA from 1 species
UGUGGGGGGGGAUAUGGGCUGGGUCUGUCCCCAUCCACACGGAUAUCACCUCCAUUGUCCCCAUCCCCACUGAUGUCACCUCCAUGGUCCCAUUCCCAGCUCUUGGUCACUGUCACCUCCAUUGUCCCCACCCCCCGGUGAUGCCAUCUCCAUGGUCCCCAUCCCCAUGCAGUGUCACCUCCAUUGUCCCCAUUCCCAUGAAUGUCACCACUCUGGUCCCCCCCAUCUGUCAGUGUCACCUCCAUGGUCUUCAUCCCCUUGAAUGUCACCACCGUGGUCCCCAUCCUCAGUCAAUGUCACCUCCAUUGUCCCCAUCUCUAGACGGUGUCACCUCCAUGGUCCCCAUUCCCAGCUCUUGGUCAGUGUCACCUCCAUUGUCCUGAUCCCCAGGUGAUGCCACCUCUAUGGUCCCCAUUCCCAGCUCUUGGUCAGUGUCACCUCCAUUGUCCCCACCCCCAGGUGAUGCCAUCUCCAUGGUCCCCAUUUCUGUGCAGUGUCACCUCUGUUGUCCCCAUUCCCAUGAAUGUCACCACCCCGGGCCCCAUCCUCACUCAGUGUCACCUCCAUGGUCCCCAUCCCCAGCUGAUGUCACCUCCGCAGUCCUCAUCCUCAGCCUUUGGCCACUGUCACCACCGUGGUCCUCAUCCCCAGCUGAUGUCACCUCUAUGAUCCCCAUCUCCACGUGGUGUCACCACCACGGUCCCCACCCCCACGUGACGCCAUCACUGUAGUCCCCAUCCACCUCAAUGCCAGUUCCCAGCCGAUGUCACCUCCACGGUCCCCAUCCCCAGAUGAUGUCACCACCGUGCUUCCCAUCCCCAUGUGAUGUCACUUCCACAGUCCUCACACCCACGAGAUGUCACCCCUCAUUCCCCAUCCCCAGUCAAUGUCACCUCCACGGUCCCCAUCCCUACAUGAUGUCACCUCCAUGGCCCCCGUCCCCAGCCCUUGCUCAGUGUCACCUCCAUUGUCUCAAUCCGCAUGAAAUGUCAUUGCUGUGGUCCCCAUCCCUCGAUGAUGUCACCUCCAUGGCCCCCAUCUCCAUGGGAUGUCACCACUGUGUCCCCCUCCCCAUGAGAUAUCACCACCCCGGGCCCCAUCCUCAGCCAAUGUCACCUCCAUGGCCCCCGUCCCCAGCCCUUGCUCAGUGUCACAACCACUGUCUCCAUCCCCAUGAGAUGUCACUGCUGUGGUCCCCAUUCCCAGAUGAUGUCACCUCCAUGGUCCCUCUCUUCAGCCCUUGGUGUCACCUCCAUUGUCCCCAUUGCCAUGGGAUGUCACCACUGUGGUCCCCAACCUCAGCCAAUGUCACCUCCAUUGUUCCCAUCCCCAGCUGAUGUCACCUCCAUGGUCCCCAUUCCCAUGAAUGUCACCACCACGGUCCCCAUUCUCAGCCAAUGUCACCUCCAUUGUCCCUAUCCCCAACUAAUGUCACCUCCAUGGUCCCAUUCCCAGCUCUUCGUCAGUGUCACCUUCAUUGUCCCCACUCCCAGGUGAUGCCACCAUCACUGUUGUCCCCAUCCCCAUGCAGUGUCACCUCCAUCGUCCCCAUUCCCAUGAAUGUCACCACUUUGGUCCCCACCCUCAGUCAUGUCACCUCCAUGGUCCCCAUCUCUAGAUGAUGUCACCUCCAUUGGCCCCAUUCCUGUGAAUGUCACCAGUCUGGUCCCCACCCUCAGUCAGUGUCACCUCCAUUGUUCCCAUCCCCAGAUGAUGUCACCUCCAUGGUCCCCAUUCCCAUGAAUGUCACCACCACUGUCCACAUUCUCAGCCAAUGUCACCUCCAUUGUCCCUAUCCCCAACUAAUGUCACCUCCAUGGUCCCAUUCCCAGCUCUUCGUCAGUGUCACCUUCAUUGUCCCCACUCCCAGGUGAUGCCACCAUCACUGUUGUCCCCAUCCCCAUGCAGUGUCACCUCCAUCGUCCCCAUUCCCAUG